AGUGAACGCUGGCGGUAGGCCUAACACAUGCAAGUCGAACGGCAGCACAGUAAGAGCUUGCUCUUACGGGUGGCGAGUGGCGGACGGGUGAGGAAUACAUCGGAAUCUACUUUUUCGUGGGGGAUAACGUAGGGAAACUUACGCUAAUACCGCAUACGACCUACGGGUGAAGGCAGGGGAUCUUCGGACCUUGCGCGAUUGAAUGAGCCGAUGUCGGAUUAGCUAGUUGGCGGGGUAAAGGCCCACCAAGGCGACGAUCCGUAGCUGGUCUGAGAGGAUGAUCAGCCACACUGGAACUGAGACACGGUCCAGACUCCUACGGGAGGCAGCAGUGGGGAAUAUUGGACAAUGGGCGCAAGCCUGAUCCAGCCAUGCUGCGUGGGUGAAGAAGGCCUUCGGGUUGUAAAGCCCUUUUGUUGGGAAAGAAAAGCAGCAGGUUAAUACCCCGCUGUUCUGACGGUACCCAAAGAAUAAGCACCGGCUAACUUCGUG
rnacentral:rRNA from 1 species